GACGAACGCUGGCGGCGUGCCUAAUACAUGCAAGUAGAACGCCGUUUCGCACGGGUGUGUAACGCGUCGGUAACUGCCUCAUAGCGGGGGAUAACUAUUUGAAACGAUAGCUAAUACCGCCUACUUUUAGCUGGACCUGCGUUGUAUUAGCUAGUUGGUGGGGUAAAGGCUCACCAAGGCGACGAUACAUAGCCGACCUGAGAGGGUGAUCGGCCACACUGGGACUGAGACACGGCCCAGACUCCUACGGGAGGCAGCAGUAGGGAAUCUUGGGCAAUGGACGGAAGUCUGACCGAGCAACGCAGCGUGAGUGAAGAAGGUUUUCGGAUCGUAAAACACUGUUGUUAGAGAAGCGGUAUCUAACCAGAAAGCAACGGCUAACUACGUGCCAGCAGCCGCGGUAAUAC
rnacentral:rRNA from 1 species